AUUGAACGCUGGCGGCAUGCUUUACACAUGCAAGUCGAACGGUAACAGGCCUUCGGGUGCUGACGAGUGGCGAACGGGUGAGUAAUGCAUCGGAACGUACCCAGAGGUGGGGGAUAACGCAGCGAAAGCUGUGCUAAUACCGCAUGUGAUCUGAGGAUGAAAGCGGGGGACCGAGCAGCAAUGUUUGGCCUCACGCCUUUGGAGCGGCCGAUGUCGGAUUAGCUAGUUGGUGGGGUAAAGGCCUACCAAGGCGACGAUCCGUAGCUGGUCUGAGAGGACGACCAGCCACACUGGGACUGAGACACGGCCCAGACUCCUACGGGAGGCAGCAGUGGGGAAUUUUGGACAAUGGGCGCAAGCCUGAUCCAGCAAUGCCGCGUGCGGGAAGAAGGCCUUCGGGUUGUAAACCGCUUUUGGCAGGAACGAAACGGUGUCCGCUAAUACCGGGCGCUAAUGACGGUACCUGCAGAAUAAGCACCGGCUAACUACGUG
rnacentral:rRNA from 1 species